rnacentral:rRNA from 1 species
GAUCAUGGCUCAGGACGAACGCUGGCGGCGUGCCUAACACAUGCAAGUCGAACGAAGCUCCCCGAUACAAGGCUUCGGCCAAGUUGAAGGGAUGACUUAGUGGCGGACGGGUGAGUAACGCGUGAGGAACCUGCCUUUCAGUGGGGGACAACAGUUGGAAACGACUGCUAAUACCGCAUAAUGUUUCUGGACCGCAUGAUCUGGAAACCAAAGCUUUAUGUGCUGAAAGAUGGCCUCGCGU